CGUUCGGAGAUAAAGGCCUCACAGCCGGC
rnacentral:sRNA from 1 species